rnacentral:lncRNA from 10 species
CAGCGGCGCACCCACGCCGGCCCGGAGGAGCAGAGUGUUCAUUUCUGUGUCGGGCACAGUGCUAAGUGCUGGGUGCUCACUGGUGAUGAGGCAGAUGAAGGUUACCAAACUUGUGGACAGGAGCCUCAUAUCAGAGACGUGGACCUCACUGUAGCCUGGUCAUGGCUUCCAGCUUUUCGAAUCUGAGGCUCCAAAGGAGGAAAUGACCAUUCAGGGAUCUUACUCCAGCUUGAUUACGGAGACUGAACCUUCAUAGGGUGCGCACUUACCAAGGACAGGAAGGUUUCUCUGUUUGAAGGGCUUUAAACU